UUUUAAACCUGAUAGGAGCAGAAAGCCCGCAGCCCGAUUUUUCAUCGGGAGAGGACUUGGAGCGGAUAGCAGGAAGAAAC
rnacentral:sRNA from 1 species